rnacentral:rRNA from 1 species
GACGAACGCUGGCGGCGUGCUUAACACAUGCAAGUCGAACGGAAAGGCCCUGCUUUUGUGGGGUGCUCGAGUGGCGAACGGGUGAGUAACACGUGAGUAACCUGCCCUUGACUUUGGGAUAACUUCAGGAAACUGGGGCUAAUACCGGAUAGGAGCUCCUGCUGCAUGGUGGGGGUUGGAAAGUUUCGGCGGUUGGGGAUGGACUCGCGGCUUAUCAGCUUGUUGGUGGGGUAGUGGCUUACCAAGGCUUUGACGGGUAGCCGGCCUGGGAGGGUGACCGGCCACAUUGGGACUGAGAUACGGCCCAGACUACUACGGGAGGCAGAAGUGGGGAAUAUUGCACAAUGGGAGGAAGCCUGAUGCAGCAACGCCGCGUGGGGGAUGACGGCAUUCGGGUUGUAAACCGCUUUCGCCUGUGACGAAGCGUGAGUGACGGUAAUGGGUAAAGAAGCACCGGCUAACUACGUG